AAAUACGCUCUUGCAUUGGACUUCGGUCCUAAGCAUUCGUUAACCAUUGUGAAAACACCUGUUGCUUUGGCGGCAUGCGUUCGCGCUGUCAGCCCGUCCGAAGCUCAACCAAAACUAUUUCUGUAAAUUUCUUGUCAGAAACGAAAAAGUAAAUCGUUA
rnacentral:misc_RNA from 1 species